rnacentral:misc_RNA from 1 species
UUAUUUCUUGUAUUUUAUUCAGACACAAAGACUGAGUAAGGCAUAAAAGCGGCGCCUCGGCGCCGAAGCACAUCUCGCUUCCACAGGUUUGCAAGGUUGAAGGCCAUUCAGUAAUGAUCCCUCCGCAGGUUCACCUACGGAGA